GCACAAGCGGAGGAACAUGUGGUUUAAUUCGAUGAUACGCGAGGAACAUUACCCGGGAUUAAAUUGCACUCGAAUGAUCCGGAAACGGUUCAACUAACAAUAGCGAGUGUGAAGGUGCUGCAUGGUUGUCGUCAGCUCGUGCCGUGAGGUGUCGGUUUAAGUGCCAUAACGAGCGCAACCCUUGUUGUCAGUUACUAACAGGUGAUGCUGAGGACUCUGACAAGACUGCCAUCGUAAGAUGUGAGGAAGGUGGGGAUGACGUCAAAUCAGCACGGCCCUUACGUCCGGGGCUACACACGUGUUACAAUGGGGGGUACAGAGGGCCGCUACCACGCGAGUGGAUGCCAAUCCCUAAAACCCCUCUCAGUUCGGACUGGAGUCUGCAACCCGACUCCACGAAGCUGGAUUCGCUAGUAAUCGCGCAUCAGCCACGGCGCGGUGAAUACGUUCCCGGGCCUUGUACACACCGCCCGUCAAGCCAUGGGAGCCGGGGGUACCUGAAGUGCGUAACCGCGAGGAUCGUCCUAGGGUAAAACUGGU
rnacentral:rRNA from 1 species